UAUUAUUUACUUGAUCUUGAUAUCCUACGUGGAUAACUGUGGUAAUUCUAGAGCUAAUACAUGCACCAAAGCUCCGAUUUUUGACGAGCGCAUCUAUUAGAUUAAAACCAAUCGGAUUUCGGUCCGUCAUUUGGUGACUCUGAAUAGCUAUGGCUGAUCGCAUGGUCUUGUACCGGCGACGUAUCUAUCAAGUGUCUGCCUUAUCAACUUUCGAUGGUAGUUUAUGUGCCUACCAUGGUUGUUACGGGUAACGGAGAAUAAGGGUUCGACUCCGGAGAGGGAGCCUGAGAAACGGCUACCACAUCCAAGGAAGGCAGCAGGCGCGCAAAUUACCCACUCUCGGCAUGAGGAGGUAGUGACGAAAAAUAACGAGACCGUUCUCUAUGAGGCCGGUUAUCGGAAUGGGUACAAUUUAAACCCGUUAACGAGGAUCUAUGAGAGGGCAAGUCUGGUGCCAGCAGCCGCGGUAAUUCCAGCUCUCAAAGUGUAUAUCGUCAUUGCUGCGGUUAAAAAGCUCGUAGUUGGAUCUGCGCCUCAGGACUCGGUCCGCCCACUGGGUGAGAACUGGGCUCCUAGGCUAAUACUGCUGGUUUUCCCUAUGUUGCCUUCACCGGUCGCGUAGGGUGGCUAGCGAGUUUACUUUGAAAAAAUUAGAGUGCUUCACGCGGGCUAUUGUCUGAAUACUCGUGCAUGGAAUAAUAGAAUAGGAUCUCGGUUCUAUUUUGUUGGUUUUCUGAUCUGAGAUAAUGGUUAAGAGGGACGGACGGGGGCAUUCGUAUCGCUGCGUGAGAGGUGAAAUUCUUGGACCGUAGCGAGACGUCCGACUGCGAAAGCAUUUGCCAAGAAUGUCUUCAUUAAUCAAGAACGAAAGUCAGAGGUUCGAA
rnacentral:rRNA from 1 species